rnacentral:rRNA from 1 species
GCAUAAACUCACAGUGUGGCAUCACACAAUGAGUAAAGAUUUAUUGGUCAAGGAUGGGGUUGCGUGACAUUAGCUAGUUGGCGGGGUAACGGCCCACCAAGGCGACGAUGUCUAGGGGACCUGAGAGGGUGAUCCCCCACACUGGCACUGAGAUACGGGCCAGACUCCUACGGGAGGCAGCAGUAGGGAAUAUUGGGCAAUGGGCGAGAGCCUGACCCAGCCAUGCCGCGUGCCGGAUGAAGGCCUUCUGGGUUGUAAACGGCUUUUCUCAGGGAAGAAAAAGGGCAUGCGUGCUCAACUGACGGUACCUGAGGAAUAAGCACCGGCUAACUCCGUGCCAGCAGCCGCGGUAAUACGGAGGGUGCAAGCGUUGUCCGGAUUUAUUGGGUUUAAAGGGUGCGUAGGCGGCCCGUUAAGUCCGGGGUGAAAGCCCACAGCUCAACUGUGGAACUGCCCUGGAUACUGGCGGGCUUGAGUCCAGACGAGGUUGGCGGAAUGGAUGGUGUAGCGGUGAAAUGCAUAGAUACCAUCCAGAACCCCGAUUGCGAAGGCAGCUGACUAGGCUGGUACUGACGCUGAGGCACGAAAGCGUGGGGAGCGUA